AUACCGGCGGCUCGAGUGGUGGCCACUUUUAUUGGGCUUAAAGCGUUCGUAGCUGGGUUGUUAAGUCCCUUGGGAAAUCUGACGGCUUAACCGUCAGGCGUCUAAGAGAUACUGGCAAUCUUGGAACCGGGAGAGGUGAGGGGUACUUCGGGGGUAGGAGUGAAAUCCUGUAAUCCUCGAGGGACCACCUGUGGCGAAGGCGCCUCACCAGAACGGCUUCGACAGUGAGGGACGAAAGCCGGGGGAGC
rnacentral:rRNA from 1 species